GACGAACGCUGGCGGCGUGCUUAACACAUGCAAGUCGAACGGAAAGGCCCUGCUUUUGUGGGGUGCUCGAGUGGCGAACGGGUGAGUAACACGUGAGUAACCUGCCCUUGACUUUGGGAUAACUUCAGGAAACUGGGGCUAAUACCGGAUAGGAGCUCCUGCUGCAUGGGGGGGGUUGGAAAGUUUCGGCGGUCGGGGAGGGACUCGCGGCUGAGCAGCUGGUGGGUGGGGUAAUGGCUUACCAAGGCGUUGACGGGUAGCCGGCCUGAGAGGGUGAGCGGCCGCACUGGGACUGAGACACGGCGCAGCGUCCUGCGGGAGGCAGCCGUGGGGAAUUUUCCGCAAGGGGCGGAAGCCUGCCGGAGCAAUGCCGGGUGGAGGUAGAAGGCCCACGGGUCGUGAACUGCUUUUCCCGAAGAAGAAGCAAUGACGGGAUCUGGGGAAUAAGCAUCGGCUAACUCUGUG
rnacentral:rRNA from 1 species